UGCGUAUCUGACCGUCCCGAGGUUUGUAGCCACCUUAUCUGAAAUAACAUACAUUGGUAGGGUAGGUUGAAGAGUGUACCCCUUAACUUUUUUUUUGCUACAAGGGUUUUAUUUUUAUUUUAUUACUAUACAGGA